rnacentral:lncRNA from 1 species
GUGAGGGGCUGGGCGAAAGGAGGGAGGGGAGAGGAUGGGGAGAACGCGCGCCCCGGGAGCGAAAGCAUACAGCUAGCUCUAGAGGCGCUGCCGCAGCUCGCGCUUCCCAGCAGGUUAGCUAGCCUAGGAUCCACCCGGUAUUUCGCAGGAAGGGGGGGGGGGGUGCGUUGAGAUAGCUAGAGGAGGGGAGAGUCUUCCUGGAGGACAGGGGGAGGGAGAGAGAGCU